UACAGAGGGUGCGAGCGUUGUUCGGAAUUAUUGGGCGUAAAGCGCGUGUAGGCGGCUUAGUAAGUUGGGUGUGAAAGCCCUCGGCUUAACCGAGGAAGUGCGCCCAAAACUGCUUGGCUUGAGUACCGGAGAGGGUGGCGGAAUUCCCGGUGUAGAGGUGAAAUUCGUAGAUGUCGGGAGGAACACCAGCGGCGAAGGCGGCCACCUGGACGGAUACUGACGCUGAGACGCGAAAGCGUGGGGAGCAAACAGG
rnacentral:rRNA from 1 species